GCUCUGGUGGCCUAGUGGUUAGAGCGUCCGCCUCGGAUGCGGGAGGUCGUGGGUUCGAACACAAACCAAGUCAUAACA